rnacentral:rRNA from 1 species
AGGACGAACGCUGGCGGCGUGCUUAACACAUGCAAGUCGAGCGGAAAGGCCUUUCGGGGUACUCGAGCGGCGAACGGGUGAGUAACACGUGAGUAAUCUGCCCAUCGCUUCAGGAUAGCCAUCGGAAACGGUGAUUAAUACUGGAUAUGACAUUCCUUCGCAUGUUGGGGUGUGGAAAGUUUUUUCGGCGGUGGAUGUGCUCGCGGCCUAUCAGUCGUUGGUUGGGUGGGUAAGUCGG